GAUCACAAAAUUUUCAAGACAGAAGACACGCAGCAAAUCGAAGAUUUCAAAUCAAAUCUUGGCUACUUCAAGUAAAAAGAUUAAGAGAGAAAAACGAUGAAGCUUGAACUCGUAAUUUUGAUUAUGCUAGUUGCAGUACACAUGGGGUCUGCGGGAUGGUGCUGGGAUAAAAGGUGUGGCAUAAAAAACUUGAUCGUUACAGCACCGUGUUGCGACAACUGUACAAAUACGCGUUAUACAACGAAAGUGCUGCUUUGUCACACCGACUGGCAUUACUGCGGCCGCAAACGGUCUGUUUCCCCGCCCAAAGUUCAAGUCGAAGUCGGUUUCCCCUGCGAUUUCACAAAGUACGACCGCGACGAUGAUGGAUCAAUCAGCUUGGAUGAGCUCAUGAAGACCACAAGCUUGUCAGUAAAAGACGCGACCGCCAUUCUCAACUUUGUUGACGAGGACGGCAGUGGUGGAAUUGAUUGCAAGGAGUUCAAGAAUGCACUAUUGGAAUUUCAAUGUAACCCUAUUGGUUGUGACAGCAAUGGCAAACGCCAAGCAGACGAACCUUGGAAUAUUGAGUAAGCCCGCAUCUGCUUCUCAUAUCAUAUUUCAUACUUGAUUGGAAGAUAAACAUUAAUGAUAAAUAUCGUAGUUUUAUUUCCUGGUAAUAUUUCUUGUGAUUGUUCAAAUAUUACCAAUAAUUAGUCGUCAGUAAGGACAUAAUAAAAGCAGCAUAUAAAAACAUUGA